UACAGAGGGGGCAAGCGUUGUUCGGAAUUACUGGGCGUAAAGGGCGCGUAGGCGGCCUUCUAAGUCGAACGUGAAAUCCCCGGGCUCAACCCGGGAACUGCGUCCGAUACUGGAAGGCUUGAAUCCGGGAGAGGGAUGCGGAAUUCCAGGUGUAGCGGUGAAAUGCGUAGAUAUCUGGAGGAACACCGGUGGCGAAGGCGGCAUCCUGGACCGGCAUUGACACUGAGGAGCGAAAGCUAGGGGAGCAAACGGG
rnacentral:rRNA from 1 species